UACGGGGGGGGCAAGCGUUGUUCGGAAUUACUGGGCGUAAAGGGCUCGUAGGUGGCCAACUAAGUCAGACGUGAAAUCCUUCGGCUUAACCGGGGAACUGCGUCUGAUACUGGAUGGCUUGAGUUUGGGAGAGGGAUGCGGAAUUCCAGGUGUAGCGGUGAAAUGCGUAGAUAUCUGGAGGAACACCGGUGGCGAAGGCGGCAUCCUGGACCAACACUGACGCUGAGGAGCGAAAGCCAGGGGAGCAAACGGG
rnacentral:rRNA from 1 species